rnacentral:rRNA from 1 species
CUUUACUAUAACUUGGAAUUGGGUUCGGGCUUCGCUUGCGCAGUAUAGGUGGGAGGCAUUGAAGUACCCCUUGUGGGGGGUAUGGAGCUAACAGUGAGAUACCACUCUGGCGAGGCUAGAAUUCUAACCUUAACCCCUGAACGGGGAAAGAGACAGUUUCAGGCGGGUAGUUUGACUGGGGCGGUCGCCUCCUAAAAGAUAACGGAGGCGCGCAAAGGUUCCCUCAGGCUGGUUGGAAAUCAGCCGUAGAGUGUAAAGGCAUAAGAGAGCUUGACUGUGAGACCCACAAGUCGAACAGGGACGAAAGUCGGCCUUAGUGAUCCGACGGCACUGAGUGGAAGGGCCGUCGCUAAACGGAUAAAAGUUA